rnacentral:lncRNA from 1 species
UCCUGACCCCGUGAUCCGCCUGCCUUGGCCUCUCAAAGUGCUGGGAUUACAGGCGUGAGCCACCGCACCCGGCCCUGAACUGGGUUUUCAAAGACAGGAAGUCACCAGACCCCGUACUUGACGGAUCAGCUGACACUACCCAGACCAGUAAUCUGGCUCAACCAGUCCUGCGAUCCCACCCAGGAACAGAAGACAGCAAGAAAACCUCACUUCAACACUCCCGUCGAUGACUCCAUCGACCUCAGGAAGCUCCAACCAAUCAGCACUCCCCACUUCCUGAGCCCCUACCCGCCAAAUUAUCUUUCAAAACUCGGAUCCCCUAAUGCUCAGCGGAGACUGAUUUGAGCAAUAAUAAAACUCUGGUCUCCUGCA